rnacentral:rRNA from 1 species
UACGUAGGUGGCAAGCGUUGUCCGGAUUUACUGGGCGUAAAGAGCGCGCAGGCGGUCGUUCAAGUCGCGUGUGAAAGCCCCCGGCUCAACUGGGGAGGGUCACGCGAUACUGAUCGACUCGAAGGCAGGAGAGGGUAGUGGAAUUCCCGGUGUAGUGGUGAAAUGCGUAGAUAUCGGGAGAACACCAGUGGCGAAGGCGACUACCUGGCCUGUUCUUGACGCUGAGG